CCUACGGGAGGCAGCAGUGGGGAAUAUUGCACAAUGGGCGCAAGCCUGAUGCAGCCAUGCCGCGUGUGUGAAGAAGGCCUUCGGGUUGUAAAGCACUUUCAGCGGGGAGGAAGGCGUUAAGGUUAAUAACCUUGUCGAUUGACGUUACCCGCAGAAGAAGCACCGGCUAACUCCGUGCCAGCAGCCGCGGUAAUACGGAGGGUGCAAGCGUUAAUCGGAAUUACUGGGCGUAAAGCGCACGCAGGCGGUCUGUCAAGUCGGAUGUGAAAUCCCCGGGCUCAACCUGGGAACUGCGUUCGAAACUGGCAGGCUAGAGUCUUGUAGAGGGGGGUAGAAUUCCAGGUGUAGCGGUGAAAUGCGUAGAGAUCUGGAGGAAUACCGGUGGCGAAGGCGGCCCCCUGGACAAAGACUGACGCUCAGGUGCGAAAGCGUGGGGAGCAAACAGGAUUAGAUACCCCGGUAGUC
rnacentral:rRNA from 1 species